GCUUACGACCACACCGGCCUGAGUACGCCUGAUCUCGUCUGAUCUCGGAAGCUAAGCAGGGUCGGGCCUGGUUAGUACUAUGGGAGACUUCCUGGGAAUACCAGGUGCUGUAAGCU
ensembl:rRNA 5S_rRNA 5S ribosomal RNA